rnacentral:rRNA from 1 species
UACGGGGGGGGUAAGCGUUGUUCGGAAUUACUGGGCGUAAAGGGCUCGUAGGCGGCCAACUAAGUCAGACGUGAAAUCCCUCAGCUUAACUGGGGAACUGCGUCUGAUACUGGAUGGCUUGGAUUUGGGAGAGGGAUGCGGAAUUCCAGGUGUAGCGGUGAAAUGCGUAGAUAUCUGGAGGAACACCGGUGGCGAAGGCGGCGACCUGGGUAGAGACUGACGCUGAGGUGCGAAAGCGUGGGGAGCAAACGGG